UAGCUGCUGCGUGCUGUCAGCAAGCAAGCAAUCCAAUUGAUGUCCACCAGGUGGCGCGAGUGUCUUCAAUGGCCCAAAUUCGGCCAUUUUGUUCCUUGACGUAGCAGAAGUGAGAUGCCGGUCGUGACGUUUCCCAAAAUGAAAAGGUGAUUGAUCUUACCACUUUGCCACCUGAAUUGAAAAUGCCUGUACAUUUGCCGAAAUGUCGUGCCUCGUGUGUCUCGCUGCCUGUACCCAGUCGUACGUCUCAUGCCAUGCAACAGCAAAAGUCUAACAACCACGCUGCACGCUGCAGCCAGAUGGUGAAAGGUGUGAUGAAGAAAAGUUCAACCGUUGUAUGCAGGAUGUGGUGCCAGUGUUAUCCAGAAGUAGCUGUGCUGGAGUUAUUCCGAAGCAGCUGAGCCAGAAUUUGUCCAAAUUGCUGACUUUAAAAUUUUAACUGCUUUCAUUUGUGUUUUUUGCUUUGCAAGUGGUAUCCGUGGUGCUGAUUUGAAAUAUUUUUAUCCCCUUUUAUUUGUGGUUUUGCUCUGCCAGUGAGUUUCUGACUUGAAUUGGUUUCAUCUGUCGUCUUUUGCGUUUUUACUUGGGCAGUAUACGAUUGUGGCAAACUGAUUCUAUGUCAGUUUUGAUACAGUCGACAACUGCUAGAUUAAAUUCCGGCUUUCCGCACCAACAAAAUAAUAACGGCACAUGUUAUUAUCGCGGUUGGGAAAGUCACAGGCC